rnacentral:lncRNA from 12 species
CCGCCCCUCCUGGCCUGGGGGAGGGGACGAGGGAGGUGAGGCCCCGCCCCUCCUGGCUGGGGGAGGGAGGUGGUAACCAGGUGACCCGCCCUGAUAGAGGAGCUGGAGCCUAGAGGACACGUCGGAGUCGGCCAGGAAGGGGAGGCGGGAGCUGGAGGCCGAGGGGACACCCCCCAUCUGAAACCAGACGCUUCCUCUGUGCUCCGUCACCUCCUCCACCCUCUUCACUCCUGCUUUUAACCACGCGGGGUAAGGUCUUCCCGUCGUGCCAUUCAGCAUCCCCCUGCCGUCUCGGCUCCCCCCACGUCCCCGAGUACCAGGCUAAUCUUCCUCCCACGGUUUGCCGCCAACACGCCUUUCCUCUGCUCCAGAACCCUCCAGAGCUCGCCCGCGCAGGGCCCGCCCUCCCCCCGCCUGCCGCCUGACCGCCCACGACCCCGCCCUUACUCCACCGUCUACCCGUCCUGUGUUUUCACACACACGGUCACACCGCAGGACCCUCUUUCCUGGAAGGCAGCUGGUGGCCCCCAGGACUCCGGGACCAGGUACUAUGGAUGGGUGAGGGGUCCUGACCCUCUCUCCAGACAUUCCUCAAGCAACCCUUCCAGCCCCAUGGUAAGCCCUCCCUGAGAGGAAUUCUUAGAAACACAGUGUGCUUCAUCUGGUUGCAUUUCACGGAUGAUUUUUAGCCUUUUGGUGACAUUUUCUUGCCCCUUGGGACUUGAGGGAUAUGCCCCCCAGCCAACCCUCCAACCUGGUUGAAUGGAAAGAAUAGAUGUAGGUCAGAAGCAGGAAGCCGAUUCAGCCCAGGA